rnacentral:lncRNA from 1 species
CUGUCCCAGGUGCCCUCACCUAUCCCAGGUGCCCUCACCUGCCCCACUCUCACCUGUCCCCAGGCCCUCACCUGUCCCAGGUGCGCUCACCUGCCUCGCGGUACUGCCCGAAGACGAGGUCGCUGGCGUCGAGCGCGGCGGCGCUGCCCACGUGGGUGCCCUCCUCGCCGUAGUUGGUCAUGUAGAAGGAGAUGCGGCCCUGGGGGCGGCACCGCACCUGUGGGCACCUGUGGGCACCUGUGGGCACCUGUGGGUGCCAGGUGGGUGCCAGGUGGGCGCCAGGUGGGCCUUACCUGGCGCUGGGACUCGUAGAGGAUUCGGUCCAUGGUGUUGAGCAGCGUCAUCGUCCGGUAGAGCUUCAGCACCUCCUCCUUGGGCAGCUGCGGGCACAGCGCAGGUGUGGGCACCUGGGAGGGCACCUGGGCAGGUGUGGGGCACCUGGGCCAGUGUGGGGCACCUGGGCGGGUACCUGGGCAGGUGUGGGGCACCUGGGAGGGCACCUGGGAACCUGGGAGGGUACCUGGGCACCUGGGAGGGCACCUGGGCACCUGGGCAGGUCUGGGCACUUGGGCAGGCACCUGGGCAGGUAUGGUACGUGGGCAGGUGUGGUACCCAUCCCAUGUUACCCGUGCCAGGUAUGUUACCUGUACCAGGUGCGCCACCUGUGCCAGGUGUGCCAGGUGUGCCAGGUGUGCCAGGUGUGCCGUGUUACACCUGUACCAGGUGUGUUACCUGUGCCAGGUGUGUUACCUGUGGCAGGUGGGCUCACCUGGGGGUCCUCGGCGGGCCGCAGCACCUGGCCCUGCCGGUCCAUCACCCGGUACACCGGGAUCCCGGCCAGCACCUGCGGCUGGAUGAACUCGAGGCGCUCCGAGAAGGCGGCCGAGGCGCCCGGGAACUGCGGCCGCUCCUCGGGAGACUCCUGGGGACACCAGGGGGGACAGCGGGGGUCACGGAGGGGUCACGGGGUCACUGAGGGGUCACGGGGUCACUGGGGACUCCUGGGGACACCGGGGUGGCACCGAGGGUCCCAAAAGGGACACCAGGGAUGGCACCAGGACACCGGAGGGGGCUGCGCUGUCCCCUCCCUGUCACCCCUCNNNNNNNNNNCUCAAUGUCCCCUCAUUGACCCUCAUUGUCCCCUCAAUGUCCCCUCAGUGUCCCCUCAUUGUCACCCCUCAUUGUCCCCUCAAUGUCCCCUCAUUGUCCCCCCUCUGUCCCCUCUCUGUCCCCUCAUUGUCCCCUCUCUGUCACCCCUCUCUGUCCUCUCUGGGUCCCCUCAUUGUCACCCCUCACUGUCACCCCUCAUUGUCCCCUCAUUGUCCCCUCCCUGUCCCCUCAAUGUCCCCUCAUUGUCCCCUCAUUGUCCCCCCCGCUGUCCCCUCGCUGUCCCCCCUCAAUGUCCCCUCACUGUCACCCCUCGCUGUCCCCUCUUUCCCCUCUCCCUGUCCCCUCUCUGUCCCCUCGCUGUCCCCUCUCCCUGUCCCCUCCCUGUCCCCUCCCUGUCCCCUCUCUAUCCCCUCCCUGUCCCCUCUCUGUCCCCUCUCCCUGUCCCCUCCCUGUCCCCCCGCUGUCCCCUCCGGUCCCACUCACGGCCGUGCUCCGGAGCCGCCUCGGGACGAGCCCCGGGAGGCGCCGCCGCCACCGCAGCGCCCUCAGCGCCGCCAUUUUCUCCGCG